GUUAUUAAUAAUCGCAGAUACAAUUAUUAGCUUUUUACAUUGAGAAUCAAACCACCAACUUAUGCUAUAACUUUGAAAUGUUAUGGACUUAAGUAGUUAGGAUAAACAACAAUGACACAGUCAGAUAUGUUGACUCCAUGUCCAUGUUAUAUUAUGUGGUUAUAGAUAUAUGAUUGUUGUAAGAUGGGCAAAACAAAGAUUAUGAUUAUCGUUGCAUUUAUUUAUUAGAGUUUGGAAUUGAACAUUGCACUAUUUUGUGCAAGCUGAUUAGUAACCGUGAAGAUGUAUAUCGUGUUGUCAAAGCUGUUGC
rnacentral:lncRNA from 1 species